rnacentral:rRNA from 1 species
GGCGAGUGAAGCGGCAACAGCUCAAAUUUGAAAUCUGGCCUCUUUGGGGUCCGAGUUGUAAUUUGCAGAGGGCGCUUUGGUGUCGGCAGCGGUCCAAGUUCCUUGGAACAGGACGUCACAGAGGGUGAGAAUCCCGUACGUGGUCGCUAGCCUUCACCGUGUAAAGCCCCUUCGACGAGUCGAGUUGUUUGGGAAUGCAGCUCUAAAUGGGAGGUAAAUUUCUUCUAAAGCUAAAUACUGGCCAGAGACCGAUAGCGCACAAGUAGAGUGAUCGAAAGAUGAAAAGCACUUUGGAAAGAGAGUCAAACAGCACGUGAAAUUGUUGAAAGGGAAGCGCUUGCAGCCAGACUUGCCUGUAGUUGCUCAUCCGGACUUUUGUCCGGUGCACUCUUCUAUGGGCAGGCCAGCAUCAGUUGGGGCGGUUGGAUAAAGGUCUCUGUCAUGUACCUCUCUUCGGGGAGGACUUAUAGGGGAGGCGACAUGCAACCAGCUCCGACUGAGGUCCGCGCAUUUAUGCUAGGAUGCUGGCGUAAUGGCUGUAAGCGGCCCGUCUUGAAACACGGACCAAGGAGUCUAACAUCUAUGCGAGUGUUUGGGUGUCAAGCCCGAGCGCGCAAUGAAAGUGAACGGAGGUGGGAACCCCUCGGGGCGCACCAUCGACCGAUCCUGAUGUCUUCGGAUGGAUUUGAGUAAGAGCAUAGCUGUUGGGACCCGAAAGAUGGUGAACUAUGCUUGAAUAGGGUGAAGCCAGAGGAAACUCUGGUGGAGGCUCGCAGCGGUUCUGACGUGCAAAUCGAUCGUCAAA